GGAGCGGUAGCUAAGUGGUAUAGCGUGGGAUUGCAGUACUGGUUGACAGUCAGCAAUUAUCCUAAGGUCAUGAGUUCGAUCCUCAUUCGCUCCU
rfam:Pseudomassariella vexata strain CBS 129021 BCR38scaffold_32, whole genome shotgun sequence.